UAGCAGUAUGAAACCUAUAAUAGUAUAUACCAUACUAUAUACCUUAUUUUACUUAUAAAGUUAUUAUUCUGUUAAGUAAUUUGUAAAAACUUUUUAAGUGUAAAAUUGCUACAUGAGAAGACAAGUUGUUAGAUAAAAUUCAAAUGGUCUCUAUGUUUGUGUUGUGUAGGUCAAAAAAUAAUAAACAAAGAUGAUAUUGAUUGUGAUGACCAAGAGAUUCAUUUUAAGACACAUCAACCUUCAUCAUCUUUAAAAAGAUGAUGAAGGUUGUUUAAAGGAUAAACGUUUUGGAUUUCCAUUAUCUCAAGCAAACUUUCAAUAUUGUGUGUUGCUUCUCUUAAAUGAGAUAAAAACCCAAGGAUGCAAAAAACUAAAUAUAAAAUAGUGUGAAGAAGAAGUAGUAACUGAAAUGAACAGCAUAAUAGAAUUUGAUAAGUUUGACUCAGCACUUGACAUUGUUUCAUCUAGUAACUCUAUAGUAUCUCUGCAGUUGUAAACUGCUAAAUACUGAUUUGACAGAUUUUUCUUUUUUUUUAAAUUUUCUUUACAAUAUAUAAUUUUUACUACUUAAUUAGGAAUUGUCAGACUUCUAUUAUUUCUUUCUAUUAGAAACAAAGAGUUCAAAAUAUUGCUGGUAAGAACUGUCAAAAACUUGUGAUAGCUAUGAUGAAGAGUUUUGGUUUUAUGACAAAUUCACUCAUGGCCAAAUCUAAUAUGGCAGCUCGAAAAUGCUAAGGAUCUUUUUAGUCUAACCAAGCUAUACAACUUAAUAAAAGUUUGUGCAUCGACUUCUCACGAAUAAUACACAGAGUCGAUUGUCGAUGCAAUAAUUGCUGAUUCGUGAAAGCGGGCAACUUUUGCUUGUCUUAAAGUGCCUUGAAUCCAACAGAUAUCAUCGUUAUAAUAUUACUUUGUUUGUAAAUUGUUUUAAAAAAUAAAUUUAAAAAUAACUUUUAAA